UUAACCGAUUUAAUCUCUCUCUCUCUCUCUCGCUCUCUCUCGCUCUCGCUCUCUCGCUCUCUCUCUCUCUCUCUCUCUCUCUCGCUCUCUCUCUCUCUCGCUCUCGCUCUCGCUCUCUCGCUCUCUCUCGCUCUCCCUCUUGCUUCCUCAAGUACUUCCCCUUCCAACAGUUCUGUGUGUGUGUGUGUGUGUGUGUGUGUGUGUGUGUGUGUGUGUGUGUGUGAGACCAGACCCCCCAGACCCUCUCCUCAGACCAGACCCCCCAGACCCUCUCUUCAGACCAGACCCCCCAGACCCUCUCCUCAGACCAGACCCUCUCCUCAGACCAGACCCCCCAGACCCUCUCCUCAGACCAGACCCCCCAGACCCUCUCCUCAGACCAGACCCCCCAGACCAGACCCCCCAGACCCUCUCCUCAGACCAGACCCCCCAGACCCUCUCUUCAGACCAGACCCCCCAGACCCUCUCCUCAGACCAGACCCUCUCCUCAGACCAGACCCCCCAGACCCUCUCCUCAGACCAGACCCCCCAGACCCUCUCCUCAGACCAGACCCCCCAGACCAGACCCCCCAGACCCUCUCCUCAGACCAGACCCCCCAGACCAGACCCUCUCCUCAGACCAGACCCCCCAGACCAGACCCCCCAGACCCUCUCCUCAGACCAGACCCCCCAGACCCUCUCCUCAGACCAGACCCCCCAGACCCUCUCCCCAGACCAGACCCCCCAGACCAGACCCUCUCCUCAGACCAGACCCCCCAGACCAGACCCUCUCCUCAGACCAGACCCUCACAGCUUGUUCCUCACAGAGAGAAAACUAACUUGAGAUCUCUUCUGCUUCUUCCUGCUCACUCACUGUCUCACUCUCUCUCUGUCUCACUCUCUCUCUGUCUCACUCUCUCGCUGUCUCACUCUCUCUCUGUCUCACUCUCUCGCUGUCUCACUCUCUCUCUGUAUCACUCUCUCUCUGUCUCUCUGUCUCUCGCUCUCUAUCUCUCCUCUCUCGGUUCCUGA
rnacentral:lncRNA from 1 species